rnacentral:rRNA from 1 species
AAUGAACGUUGGCGGCGUGGAUUAGGCAUGCGAGUCGAGCGAGAACCGUAGCAAUACGGGGACAGCGGCGAAAGGGACAGUAACGGGUAGAUUAUCUGCCCUCAGGUUUGGGAUAGCUGCGGGAAACUGCAAGUAAUACCAGAUAAUAUCUCCGGAUCAGAGGUGUGAUUCCGCCUGAGGAUGAGUCUGCCUCCUAUUAGCUUGUUGGUGGGGUAACGGCCUACCAAGGCAUUGAUGGGUAGCGGGUGUGAGAGCACGACCCGCGUCAUUGGGACUGAGACACUGCCCAGACACCUACGGGUGGCUGCAGUCGAGAAUCUUCGGCAAUGGACGCAAGUCUGACCGAGCGACGCCGCGUGUGGGAUGAAGGCCUUCGGGUUGUAAACCACUGUCAGAGGGGAUGAAAUGCAGGUGGGUACUCCCAUUUGUUUGACAUAGCCUCAGAGGAAGUACGGGCUAAGUUCGUGCCAGCCGCCGCCGUAA